UAGUAUGAAUUUAAUAUUGUAAUUUUUCUGGAGAAAUAAUAAAAAAUGAUAAAGUAGUUUAUUUUGUUACUUCUAUGACAAACAUAUAUAAAAAUUAAAGGACUCUUAACCCAUUAAGUCCGAACGUUACCAUAUGGUAACGCAGCAAAUAAUGUCUUAAAAUAGCUAUGGUUCCCGACGUAUUAGUGUAUAUCGGUUUUAUCAGUGUUUAUACAUUCUCUUUAUGUAACAAAACGAUAUGUCAUUAACCAGAAUUCCACAAUAUUAAUCAGUCAUGUGUUAUACGUUGAAAUAGCUGGGUUUCUUUUUCAUACUCAUAACCAUGGAUUUUCGUGGAAGUAAUGGAUUUUCUCUCCAAGAAGCUCUGAAUAUUUUAUUUGUAGAUGAAGAAGACACGGGUUGAAGAAAUAUUCAUUGAAUCCCCUGAAGCAAAUAUUCUUACUGACGCAGAUUCAGAUGACGAAGAUGGAGCCGGUGCAAUAGAUAACUUGACUGGUCGACAAUUAUUAGCACCUGCUAAAAUAAGAUUUAUGCAUGAAUAAUGCUUGGAUCUUACAAAGAAAAGUAAAGCCAAAUGUAUCACAACCUCAAUUUAGAAGUGAAAUAGUCCGCAAUUUGCUUUUGAAAUAUGGGACGAAACCUAAAGUUGGUGGAAGGCCACCCAGACCGAUAUCAAGUAUCUCUUGAAAUAGACUAAGUUAUGACAUUAGGUACGAUGCGAAAAAUCAUGUUAUCAUUCCAAUCCCAGAAAAAAAAGAAGAAAAUGUCCCGGCGAAGGACGUUCGUCUGUUACCACUUUUCUCAGCUCUCACCGAACCGAUUUCUUUCAACAAUACGUCAAAAGAUCACAGAUCGUGUCUAGACGAAGUCAUUACCCUCAACAAUUGAAAAAAUUUCUCUCGUUCUCCGUAAAUGGGGGAAAUAUGCAAAUUUAAAAAUCGGAGAAACGAGGUUCCAUUCAGCUGGAUCUGAACUUAGUAUAGUGACUGAGCUCUUUAAUGAAUUAUCAUUGCUAUUGUCAUUUAAACAAUUUUUUUCGUCAAUAUUUUCAAGUAUAAACUUUGUUUCACCACGUUUUUGUAAGAUACAAUCAUCAACAGAUUCUUCAUCUUUAGAUAUUGUUAAAGUAUUUACAUUUUCAAUAUUAAAUGGAGAAUCCUACAAAAAAAAAAAGAGAUAAAAAUCGAAAUCUAAGCUGUAAUUUUGAAUUUAAAUGGGUAUAAAGAAUAAUAUUUUAAGUUUAUUUAAAGCUUGGAUUAUUUUCGGAAAUUUUUCAAAAAAUAAGUUGAAAAUUUUCAUUAUUUUAAACGAAAUUUUUAUUAUACCCUUCAUUGUAUAAGGAAAAAUUAUCCACUUUAAAAAAAAAUAGAUAUGUUUAUGAAGAAGUUAUAACAUAAAAAUUAAAAGAUCCACGCAUUAUUUAAAUAAUUACAGCGAUUUAAAUUGAAAAUAUAAAAUAAAUUAUCAAACAUUUUAACGCAAAAAUAACAUGUUUUUGAGCUACUGCAGUCGUUUGUACUUAAAAGAAAAGGUGUCGGGUAAAAUUUUUGUUUUAGAUCUUCUAGUACACAACAUAAGCUUUAAUUUAAAAUAUGUUUUAAGGUUGGAGUAUUUUAGGAAACAUUUCAAUGUUUAUUUGAAGAAAUCAACUUUUUAUGCAAAAGUAGCUGUUUUUAUUCCCCCUUGUUGGCAGGGAAAAUGCCAGAUUUAAAAAAUAUAAAAAACAAAAAUAAAAUAUCUAACGUUAUUACACUGAAAAAAAUUAUUUUGAUUUCUUAAAUUUCGAAAAUGUAUGGAUAUUUUUAUCAAAAAAUUAUGAAAAAAUUCUAAUUUUUGGCAUGAUUCAAUAACAUUUAAAUUUUUUUCGAUUGCCUUUUUACGGUACUCACAACCACUUAACUUAAUUUUUUUUGCACUCAUUUUUUAACACUUUUUGUUAACUCUGACACUGAUAAUUGAGAAGUGAGUGCUGGACUUAUUUGUUAUUUUAUCCAAAUAUUCAGAUAUUCAUUUUAUUAUUGAUAUUAUUCUUAUAAUAAUCUAUUUAUAUAUAUAUAUAUAUAUAAAAUAGCCGUUAUCAAUGAAGUGAUAUCGAAAAAUGAAAAUGUUAUUUUUAGUCUAUAACUUUCAAUGAAUAAACUAAAGCUAUAAAUUAUUGUUCAGUACUUGAAUAAACUAAACCUCUUAUACAUUUGAUCACGAGUUAUUAUAAUUAUGAAAAUACUUCACAAAUUAGAUGUAUCUAAACAUUGAAUUCAACAUUCAAUCAAGUUAUGAUUUAUUGGUCCAAAAUAAUUCAAGUGGCCCAAAUUUGUACCGGUCUUGGCGGGGUUUGUCCCAUCAUCGCUUAGCCAAUCCGCCCCUGGCACAAUUUUAAUACCACGUGAUAUAUUAUUAUAUUUUAAUGCCAUAAAGUAUAAAAUUUUUUCAAUAAUAAGAGCAGUGGAAGUCUGCUUUAAGAUAUUCCACGUUUUUAAUUUAGAAUACCCACUUCUAUUAGCGCUGUCUUGAUAUUUAUUCAACAAUAUAACUACAAAUUAUUUUUAAAGAACGACUACUCCCAUCAAACGGUUAAACAAGUGUUACAUGAUCUUAACAAAAAAGUAAAAUAAUAUUAUAUUCAAUAUUCAAAAAUUUUUUUUAUUUUUUUUUUACUAUAUUUUUCUUUUCUUUCUUCUUAUUAAUUAUUUGUAAAUUAUUAAUUUUUGAAAAUUUUCUUUUCAUCCAAUGUAUAAAUAAAUUGUAAGUUUUCUUAAAAUUCAUAAAAAAUAAAAGGUGGAAAUACGCCGUUUCAGUUUAUUUUCUAUAUUUCUCAUUCAAUACACAUGUGUACAGGUUUUAUUUAUAAUUUACUAUUGAAAAAUUAAAAG